rnacentral:rRNA from 1 species
AUUGAACGCUGGCGGCAGGCCUAACACAUGCAAGUCGAACGAGUGGCGGACGGGUGAGUAAUGUCUGGGAAACUGCCCGAUGGAGGGGGAUAACUACUGGAAACGGUAGCUAAUACCGCAUACCAUCGGAUGUGCCCAGAUGGGUUUAGCUAGUAGGUGGGGUAAUGGCGCCCCUAGGCGACGAUCCCUAGCUGGUCUGAGAGGAUGACCCGCCACACUGGAACGGAGACACGGUCCAGACUCCUACGGGAGGCAGCAGUGGGGAAUAUUGCACAAUGGGCGCAAGCCUGAUGCAGCCAUGCCGCGUGUAUGAAGAAGGCCUUCGGGUUGUAAAGUACUUUCAGCGGGGAGGCGUUACUCGCAGAAGAAGCACCGGCUAACUCCGUGCCAGCAGCCGCGGUAAUUC